CCAGCAGUGAAGGGGGCCCCCGGAACCAGGGCUGGGUCCUGGCCACAGGCUCAGGAAGGGGGCUGAUGGGUGUGAAGGCUGUGAGCUGAGCUCAGCUCUCUGCAGCAGCGGAUUUGUUUUAAAGUCACAACUUUCCGAAAACCUUUCACCUUAUGUUAGCUUCCUCUGAAGUGCUUAUCUGAAAAGUUCUGGCUUGUGCACAAAAUAUUGAGCUGUGCUGCAUCCUGUUUGACUCCUGGGAUGGGUUUUGAAGUAAUCAGCCUUUGAAUUUCAAGGAGCCCUUAAUCUUCUUUGACCCACAUGGAGCCACAGAUUAGCCUGUGAAAAAUCGUCCAUCCAGUGUCUACAAAUGGACUUCAAAUGAAGGCUCCUGAGAGCAAGAUAUUAGUUAGGAGUCCAAAGACUUUAAUGAUGGAGGAAGGAGAGCAACAGCAACUCUCACCCCAAAGGAGAGCAAAAUACACACGUCAGCUUGAACUCCAGAAAAACACUGAUACUUCUGUCCCUUUGGAGUUGACAUUUGGAGGAUCAAAUCAAUCCUUUGUGUUCCCUCGCACCCCAGAAACCUCCCGAUGUUCUAGGCCCCUGUGAAGUUCUCCUCUUCCAGGGCCUUCCUCAUCUGCUCAGCCUCCAGGAGCCCCCUCUCAGACACUCCAGGUAUCUUUGCUACCUCGGGCCCUCCUCUUGUAAGCUGCAGCUCUUAGGGAAUUCACAACCUCUCUGACACACGGGUUCUGUAAGGUAUGGAUGGAUGGUGUUCGCCUAGGCCCUGCCGUCUCUUCCUAAACACCAGCAAUGAGUACUGAAUGUACAGGGGGAGAAAGCCCUCGGCGAGCUAUAAGUGGUAAAGCUCACAUGUGCUGCUUCUCUAUACUUCUAGCAAAGGGUGUCCAAUCCUCCUCUUAUGCCUGGACCGGACACAGCAUUGGUGACCUUAGACUCUUGCCCAGAGUAGGUGCUCACCCAAGAUUUGGGGGGUGACCAGGGUGGCAAUUUCUGGAAUCAGGCCUGGU